rnacentral:rRNA from 1 species
GAUGAACGCUGGCGGCGUGCUUAACACAUGCAAGUCGAACGAUGAAGCCCAGCUUGCUGGGUGGAUUAGUGGCGAACGGGUGAGUAACACGUGAGUAACCUGCCCUUAACUCUGGGAUAAGCCUGGGUAACUGGGUCUAAUACCGGAUAGGAGCGUCCACCGCAUGGUGGGUGUUGGAAAGAUUUAUCGGUUUUGGAUGGACUCGCGGCCUAUCAGCUUGUUGGUGAGGUAAUGGCUCACCAAGGCGACGACGGGUAGCCGGCCUGAGAGGGUGACCGGCCACACUGGGACUGGGACACGGCCCAGACUCCUACGGGAGGCAGCAGUGGAGAAUAUUGCACAAUGGGCGGAAGCCUGAUGCAGCGACGCCGCGUGAGGGAUGACGGCCUUCGGGUUGUAAACCUCUUUCAGUAGGGAAGAAGCGAAAGUGACGGUACCUGCAGAAGAAGCACCGGCUAACUACGUG